rnacentral:lncRNA from 1 species
ACAAAAAAACCUCAGCAUCUUUGAUAUAAACAUGGUAUUUGUAUCUUUUUUUUUUCAAUCAGGUACCCAAAUCCACAUUUGUCCACUACUAGGCUUUUCUUCUUUUUUAAGAGUAUUUUGUCUUUUACCCAUGUCAUGGGUUACAAAAGAAAGGAGUCCUGGGUUAUUAAUGGCAAUAACCACCCACGGGUCCUUUAAAACACUUAAUGGCUAAUAUCAGAUGAUACGAGUAGCAUUAAAGUCUAACUUAAGACAUGAAUUUAGUAGAACACAAAACUAAUAGUGUGUAUUUAUAGUUGACCGAAAAUUAUGGGAAAAUGCCACAAUUUGGACCUUGCAAAACAAAGUCCAAUUAAAAUAAAGCCAAGGAAGACAGUAUAUAAUACAAAUGCCCAAAUCAGUCUUGAUUGCCAACCCAAGCAGCCCUGGGGGCUCAUCUGCUCUUUCUUGAACAGCUGAGCAGCAGACAAGGGACUAGGCUUGCCCAGCCUUAGGCAAAAGAUUAUGUUUGUCUGAAACACCAUUGUUGCCAUAGAUAGAACAAGCCCCUACAAGUCCCUGUUGGCUGUCCUGUUUGAUGUCCUGCCUUAAAUUCUGGAGAUCCCUGGGGCCUCUGGGGGCCAGAGUUUUGCAUCACAGUUUGUGGGUGUGACCCUUGCUGGUCCUCCAGCCAUUAAGGCUCUCAUUCUAGGGUGACCUCUUGUUGCUGGCCUCUGACCAAGGCACUCUUAGGACAAAAGGAUCAUGGUUCACAAGGAGGCUAGGCAAGGUUGGGGACUCAGAACACGGUUGUCAAUUUUCCAAUGUCUUGGUGCCAUAACACAGAAGCAUCAUGUCACAGGUGCUAGAUCCUGUAGUCUCUGUUGGCAUUGUGCCACUUGGACACUCUCUCUGGGACAACAGCUGGCACCUUCCAGUGUCUCCCUGCACUGGGUGUACCCAUCACUCAGGACUAUUCAAAAGGUCAAAUUGGAGAUGGUUCAGGCUUUAUACCUUCAAACCCAGCAGUUUGUUUGUUUGGUUUGGUUUUUCCGAGACAAGGUUUCUCUGUAUAGUCCUGGCUGUCCUGAAACUCACUUUGUAGACCAGGCUGGCCUCGAACUCAGAAAUCCACCUGCCUCUGCCUUCUGAGUGCUGGGAUUAAAGGUAUGCGCCACCACAGGCCAAACCCAGCAGUUUUAACUUAGGAUGUGUCUUAGUCAGGGUUUUACUGCUGUGAAAAGACACCAUGACCAAGGCAAGUCUUAUAAAAAAACAUUUAAUUGGGGCUGGCUUACAGGUUCAGAGGUUCAGUCCAUUAUCAUCAAGGUGGGAGCAUGGCAGCAUCCAGGCUGUCAAGGCACAGGCAGAGCUGAGAGUUCUAUGUCUUCAUCAAAGGCUGCUAGUGGAAGACUGACUUCCAGGCAACUGGGGUGAGAGUCUUAAGCCCACACUGACAAUGACACACCUAUUCCAACCAGGCCACACCUCCAGAUGGUGCCACUCUGGUCUGAGAAUAUACAAAUCAUAAACAUAAUUGGGCAUUUGGAGCUGGCUACAGAUGGCUCAGCAAGAAAGGCACCAAGCCUGACCACCUGAGUUCAAACCCUGGGGUCCAUAUGGUAGACCAGGGGUUCUCAACCUGUAGGUUGCAACUUUUUGACAAACCUCUAUCUCCAAAACUAUUUACAUUAUGAUUCUUAACAGUAGCAAAAUUACAGUUAUAAAGUAGCAACAAAAAUAAUUUUAUGGGGCUGGUGAGAUGGCUCAGCGGUUAAGAUUGCCGACUGCUCUUCCAAAGGUCCUGAAUUCAAAUCCCAGCAACCACAUGGUGGCUCACAACCAUCUAUAACGAAAUCUGAUGCUCUCUUCUGGAGUGUCUGAAGACAGCUUCAGUGUACUUACAUAUAAUACAUAAAUAAAUAUUUUUUAAAAAAAUAAUUUUAUGGUUAGGGGUCACCACAGCACAAGGAACUGUGUUAAAGGGUCAUGCCAUUUUGAAGGUUGAAAUCUGAUAUAAUCGAAGAAAGCCAAUUCCUGCAAUUGGCCACUGGCCUCCACACCUAUAUCAUGGCCCACACACCUACCCUGCAACAUAAGUCAACGUAAUCAAGUAUUUUAAAAAAUAAAGUACAACAUUUGUGUAGUAAAAUUUUCUGUGGAAACCAUUUUGAAGAUACACACUGUCAUGUUAGUUUAGAAAAGGUUUAAGUAUUUUUAUGUUCCAACAUGAGAUGAAAACAGAGGCAUAAAUUAUCUAGAACUUUUUUAGUGAGAUAACCAUUGAACAUCACAGUCUCACCCAGAACACUGUAUCCUGACAGGCUUUCUCCCAUAUUGACUUUCCUUCCAAGCAUGGCUAGCCAGGUGAGCCUUCCACAUGAUUCAUGGAUAAAAGGAAGUGCCCUCCCUAUUCAGGAAUGGAUAAUUGCCAUCACAUACCAGUGGUCAGCAGAGAGUAGCUAGUAAGGCAAGAUCAGAUAAAGUAAGCCUCCCUCUACCCCAGUCCUUUGUAAGCAGUAGGAACCUUUUAAAGACUACAAUUGUAAGGCCAUCUCCUCUGUGCCACUCUCCCCACACACCCACAGCUUCCUUAAUUGGCUCACAUGUUUAUCUAUCCCACUAAGUACAUGAGGAAUGGACACAGUUAUUUCUGCCCUGAAGGAACUCAGAAGAGUGGGAAGGAUGAGCAGUCAACAAUUAUAUGCAGCCUGGUAUGACAUCAGUUGACACAAAAGACAUGUUUUCUUCAGCCUGCAUCAUUUAUGGAACAUUCUCAGAGUAUGAUGGUGAGGCUGCCCUC